rnacentral:snoRNA from 1 species
UUCAAUGACGACCAACUAUUCACACUGUCUUAGGGAUCCUGACAAGUCUCGAUGAUUCUCAAAAAAAUAACUGAUUUAAUGACUCUGAGA